rnacentral:rRNA from 1 species
GACGAACGCUGGCGGCGUGCUUAACACAUGCAAGUCGAGCGAUAAAGCUCCUUCGGGAGUGGAUUAGCGGCGGACGGGUGAGUAACACGUGGGUAACCUGCCUCAUAGAGGGGAAUAGCCUUUCGAAAGGAAGAUUAAUACCGCAUAAGAUUGUAGUAUCGCAUGAUACAGCAAUUAAAGGAGUAAUCCGCUAUGAGAUGGACCCGCGUCGCAUUAGCUAGUUGGUGAGGUAACGGCUCACCAAGGCGACGAUGCGUAGCCGACCUGAGAGGGUGAUCGGCCAAAUGGGGACUGAGACACGGCCCAGACUCCUACGGGAGGCAGCAGUGGGGAAUAUUGCACAAUGGGGGAAACCCUGAUGCAGCAACGCCGCGUGAGUGAUGACGGUCUUCGGAUUGUAAAGCUCUGUCUUCAGGGACGAUAAUGACGGUACCUGAGGAGGAAGCCACGGCUAACUACGUGCCAGCCGCCGCCGUAAUAC